rnacentral:rRNA from 1 species
GGGACGAACGCUGGCGGCGUGCCUCAUACAUGCAAGUGGAGCGACGAACCAGGAUUUAUCCUGGGGCAAAGCCGCGAACGGGUGAGUAACACGUGGGUUACCUGCCCCGAUGAUUGGGACAACCCGAGGAAACUCGGGCUAAUACCAAAUGUGUUCUUGGUCGUGAUGACCAAGAAGAAAGGAAGCCUCGGCCUCCGCAUCGGGAUGGGCCCGCGGCCCAUUAGCUAGUUGGUGGGGUAAUGGCCUACCAAGGCGACGAUGGGUAGCUGGUCUGAGAGGACGAUCAGCCACACUGGGACUGAGACACGGCCCAGACUCCUACGGGAGGCAGCAGUAGGGAAUCUUGCGCAAUGCGCGAAAGCGUGACGCAGCAACGCCGCGUGGGGGAAGACGGCCUUCGGGUUGUAACCUCUUUAGUAGGGAAGAAGCGAAAGUGACGGUACCUGCAGAAAAGCACCGGCUAACUACGUGCCAGCAGCCGC